UUAGCAGCAUUAGCAGCAGCUGUGAGUUUAUCAUGUGACGGAGAAAACGUGAAAGGCGGAGCAGUAUGUCCUGUAUGUCCCUUACCAGCUAAUGUAUUUCUAGAUGGAGCAUUAAUAUGGAGAGUCUACCCCAGUUCAUGCGAACGCAAAUGU